GCUCACCUCUUAGCAGAGGUGAGCUUAUCCCAUACCGUGGCGUCCGUCGUCCGUCGUCGUCGUCGUCGUCGUCGUCGUCGUCGUCGUCGUCGUCGUCGUCGUCGUCGUCCGUCGUCCGUUAGCAGGGCACGUUUCGUAACUGUUAGAGCUAUUAAGUUGAAACUUGGUACACAUGUACCCUUAUGUAAUGACACCUUGGAGACCAAGUUUCGGUCCGAUUCGUUUCAUGGUUUGGCCACCAGGGGGCCAAACGUUAAAAGUGAAAAUAUGCAAUAUCUCCCUUAAUAGUAGUCGGGAAAUUUUGAAAAAAAUAUGGUAGGUACUUCUAGCAAAGUUGCAUCAUAUAUCCUCCGGGUUUUUGAUUUGCCCUCCUUUUCAAGGUCACAGAGGUCAAAUAGUGUAAAUUGGCCGUUAGGAUGUAACGAUGGCACGUUUCUAAACUGCAAUGACUAUUGAUCCCAAAUUUGGUACACAUUUACCCCUUAGUCAGGUAAUCUCAGGGACCGAAGUUUGGUCCAAUAUGAUUCACCACUUGACCACCAGGGGGCAAAAUCCAAAAACCUUAAAAAUUUGAUUAUUCCUUAACUUCUUGCCCGAUUGCCACCAAUUUGAUAUCAUGGGUACAUCUAACCGCCAUACAAUAUAUGUCACACAGGUUUUUAAUUUGACCUUCUUGUCAAGGUCACAGAGGUCAAAUGGCGUAAAUUCGCCGUCAGGCCGUAACUAUGGCACGUUUCUUAACUGCAAUGACUAUUGAUCACAAAUUAAGUACACAUGUACCCCUUGGUCAGGUGGUCUCAGGUACCGAAGUUUGGUGCGAUCUGAUUUGCCGCUUGGCCUCCAGGGAGGGGGCCAAAUCGUAAAUUCUUCAAAAUGCCAUUAUUCCUAGUAUUACUUGCCUGAUUGGCACCAAUUUUAUAUCAUAGGUACAUCUUAUUCUAACAACCAUUCAAUGUGUCACCCGGGUCUUCUUUGAUUUGACCUACUUUUCAAGGUCACAGAGGUCGAAUGUACUGUAAAUUGGCCAUUUUGGGGAAAUUGUAAUUGCUUGGACCUACAUCAAACCUAACACUACAUGACACAAUACCAUGCUCUUUAUCCAUCUUUCCUCCACAUGAGGUGAGCACAAUGGCCCUGGCCAUUUCAUUUUUAAAUGUGGCAUUGCAGGCCCUCCGUGCCACCCCUGGGGUUUUUAAUGCCACUCGUGCCCACACUCAAGUGUUUUGAAGAAUGUAAAAUCCAGUGUGUGAUAAACAUGUGUAAAGAAACCUUUCGUAAGAAGCCAGAAGAGCUUUACAACAAUCUUGGACUGGGAGAUGGAGGCCAUCAUAAACUUCUUGUAGGAUGAGUUGCCGCAGACAGAGAUGAAAACCAUUAUGAAUGUCCGUGAGCCAGAGGCUAUGAUUUGUUUAGUACAACAAUGCGAGGGACUUAACAAAAUUGAGGCGGAAAUAUUCUUGAGGCAGUGUCGGUGCAUGGAAGAAACGGAAACAUUGGAUUAAGGAUUUAUUUCAUAGUGAAUUACACAGUCACAAAUGGAUUACACACGUUCUGGAUUAGACUAGUUUCUGCUGCAACUGACAUUUUUGCAGGUGCCCACUCGUAGGCGAUUCCUUGAUGUCUUCCUUGGAUUUUACAUGAUAUUAUGUCAUUUUCGCCAACAUCGGGUUUUGGCGCCAAGACGUUUGUUCCUAGAACAGUUGAUUUGAAUGCCGAAUGUGGUCAGUUUUAAUUUAUAUCGCAGGUGUCUACCCAAACAAUUUUAGAUGCUUUCUGCUGAAUCUUCUAUUACUACUGUUUUUACUGGGGUUUCAUCGAUGUUUUUUGGUGGAGUGUGACUCUAAAGUAAUAGGCAGCUUGUUAUGCCCCCGCCAAUGCGUAAAGCAUUGCGGAGGCAUUAUGUUUUACCAAUGUCCGUCAGCCGGUAGGCGUCAGGCGUCUGUAAACUUUUCGUUUCCUCUCAUUUUAACAAGAACGCUUUGGGUAAUAACCAUGUAACUUUUUAUGUGGGUAGAAAAAGAUAACGUGCACAGCGGGCAUUACAGACCAAUAACUCUUUCACGAUGUCAACUAAACCUAGUCAGCUAUGACACCAGCUGCCGGGGUUGUCUGAAAAACACUUCACUUUCCUAAUACACCAACUCAAAGUGCUCACCGGGGCAUAUGCUACGCCCUGCGUUGCUCUUGUUAUUGCAGUAUUUUUGUUCUUCCUCUGGUUCACCUAUAAACUAUUUUUCCAAUCUCCAAUCAUGUUUGAUGCUUUAGCCAUUUUGUUUCAGCUCUUAGAUAGUAGAAAAACGUGUUAUUCAUUAUUUCUGGUAGCACAAGUCCUGGCACGAAAUACCUUUCCCGUCAUAAUAUCAGUACCAAGAUGUCACAGGGUAGGUCCUAACUCCAGGAAACGCCUUACUCGUGCACUGUUCCACGUGAAAAGGGUCACUGCUUGGAGAGCUAAAUGGGUCAACAUCAGAAAAGCGCGAUAAUUCAGUCUUUGGAAUUUUUCCUUUUUUUGUGCAAUUUGUUGAUGAAAACUACUUAUGUAGAACAGGAGGUGACUGGGCAGCGGACAGCUGGGUAAUAUUGCCCUUAACCCCUCGCCUCCCUAGAGGGGACGAUAUAUCGUCCCUGUAUUUUGUCUCGCGUAGGCGGUACGAUAUAUCGUCCCUAUACUAAUGCUUUAGUAUAGAACUCUCGGUACACGUUAGACGCUAUUGUACAGUGUAUUCGUGUCCCUGGUGAUCUGCGGAAGACUAGAUUUAGUUUCAUUCAUAGUUUACAGAGGGCGCUGCAGUUUGAUUGGCGCUUGUGCAGCGUCACAGUACAAGAACUGAUUAGCAUAUAAAUUAAUAUUAUGUUGUAUUAUUCGAUCAAUCAGUAAUAGACAAUAGUCAAUCAAAGGUUAUCAAUCAAGUUACGUUGAUCAUUAACAGGUUGUAACUGCAUCAAUUACAGUUCCAUAUACUUUGUUCAAAUCAGAAAAAUCAAUCAAUUAGAGCAAAAUCAAUCAAAAAAUAUUGAUUAUUACUGAUUAUUGAUUACCUCUUACCUAAUUGAUACCCAGAAACAACGCCAAUUGAUAGCCAAGGUAAUCAGCUUUACGAAAAUGUAUGGUUUUAUUAGUCGUACUUCCACCUAUCAAAUCCCCGUGUCUUUUGCGCUUACACCUAUGAAUUGUCGUGUCUAAAUAGACCCGUGUGUCAAAUCCCCGUGUCUAUUAGCCCCAUCGAGCUUGAUGCGGCCAAUCAGGGGCUAAGUUAGACCUGUGUUCGACACAGGUUUUUAGCUCAGCUGACAAGCUGAGCUAUUCAUAUGAGUAAAUGGUAGAAUGAAUGUCCGUCUGUCUGUCUGUCUGUCUGUCUGUCUGUCUGUCUGUCUGUCCGUUAAACAGGCACGUUUCAAAACUAUGGUGGAUAGGCGAUAGAUUUUCCCUCUGAGGCAUUGAGACCCUUCAGGACUCCUGAAUAGACCAAAUGUGGGUCCGGCAGGAUGAGCGGUUUGGCCACUAGGUGGCACCGAGCGAAAUUUUCCAAAAACUUUGCCAGCAGCUGAUUUCUCCUAAUUCUUCAAGUUGGGGAUCAUGAAUCAAAUCUAAUCUUAUAGAGCAAAGCUUUCUCUUUCAUUAUCAAUAGGCGUGGUUCAUGAAUUUCUCACCAGGUGGUGUUACUGGCGCAAUUUA